rnacentral:rRNA from 1 species
GACGAACGCUGGCGGCGUGCUUAACACAUGCAAGUCGAACGGAAAGGCCCUGCUUUUGUGGGGUGCUCGAGUGGCGAACGGGUGAGUAACACGUGAGUAACCUGCCCUUGACUUUGGGAUAACUUCAGGAAACUGGGGCUAAUACCGGAUAGGAGCUCCUGCUGCAUGGUGGGGGUUGGAAAGUUUCGGCGGUUGGGGAUGGACUCGCGGCUUAUCAGCUUGUUGGUGGGGUAGUGGCUUACCAAGGCUUUGACGGGUAGCCGGCCUGAGAGGGUGACCGGCCACAAUGGGACUGAGAGACGGACCAGAAUCCUACGGGAGGCAGCAGGGGGGAAUAUUGCACAAUGGGCGGAAGCCUGAUGCAGCAACGCCGGGUGCGGGAUGACGGCCUUCGGGUUGUAAACCGCUUUCGCCUGUGACGAAGCGUGAGUGACGGUAAUGGGUAAAGAAGCACCGGCUAACUACGUG